rnacentral:rRNA from 1 species
GAUGAACGCUAGCGGCAGGCCUAACACAUGCAAGUCGAGGGAGGAGCUUUCGGGCUUCGACCGGCGUACGGGUGCGUAACGCGUAUACAAUCUGCCUUUCACAUAGGGAUAGCCCGAAGAAAUUUGGAUUAAUACCUAAUGGUAUAUAGGGAUGGCAUCAUUUUUAUAUUAAAGCUGAGGCGGUGAAAGAUGAGUAUGCGUUCUAUUAGCUAGUUGGAGAGGUAACGGCUCCCCAAGGCUACGAUAGAUAGGGGUUCUGAGAGGGAUAUCCCCCACACUGGUACUGAGAUACGGACCAGACUCCUACGGGAGGCAGCAGUGAGGAAUAUUGGACAAUGGUCGGAAGACUGAUCCAGCCAUGCCGCGUGCAGGAAGACGGCCUUAUGGGUUGUAAACUGCUUUUGCAGGGGAAGAAUAAGGAGUACGUGUACUUUGAUGACGGUACUCUGCGAAUAAGCAUCGGCUAACUCCGUGCCAGCAGCCGCGGUAAUACGGAGGAUGCGAGCGUUAUCCGGAAUCAUUGGGUUUAAAGGGUCCGUAGGCGGGCUAAUAAGUCAGAGGUGAAAGCGCUCAGCUCAACUGAGCAACUGCCUUUGAAACUGUUAGUCUUGAAUGGUUGUGAAGUAGUUGGAAUGUGUAGUGUAGCGGUGAAAUGCUUAGAUAUUACACAGAACACCGAUAGCGAAGGCAUAUUACUAACAAUUAAUUGACGCUGAUGGACGAAAGCGUGGAGAGCGAACAGG